rnacentral:rRNA from 1 species
GGCAGGCCUAACACGUGCAAGUCGAACGGUAGCACAGAGAGCUUGCUCUCGGGUGACGAGUGGCGGACGGGUGAGUAAUGUCUGGGAAACUGCCUGAUGGAGGGGGAUAACUACUGGAAACGGUAGCUAAUACCGCAUAACGUCGCAAGACCAAAGAGGGGGACCUUCGGGCCUCUUGCCAUCAGAUGUGCCCAGAUGGGAUUAGCUAGUAGGUGGGGUAACGGCUCACCUAGGCGACGAUCCCUAGCUGGUCUGAGAGGAUGACCAGCCACACUGGAACUGAGACACGGUCCAGACUCCUACGGGAGGCAGCAGUGGGGAAUAUUGCACAAUGGGCGCAAGCCUGAUGCAGCCAUGCCGCGUGUAUGAAGAAGGCCUUCGGGUUGUAAAGUACUUUCAGCGGGGAGGAAGGUGUUGUGGUUAAUAACCGCAGCAAUGAC